GCUUACUAAGUUUGCCCUCAACCUUUUUAAAAAUUAUGUAUGUAUGUUUUACCAUUGUUAAUAUAACUUUUUACCAUGUAUUGAGAUUAGGGUGGCUGAAUCAAAUUCCUGGGUUGUGUUUGUUCUUCCCUUUGCACACCGUGAAGCUUUGUUCGUUCUUCCUUGUGUUUUCCGUUCAGCUGUUUCCUUCCUUGUCUCCGUCGUUCAGCGUCGUGUUCCCUCUCCUUCCAUUUGUGGUCUACCCUCAGAUGGGCCUCUUCGAGUAGCAUAUGUGGAUGAGGUUUCUUUGGGUAGGGAAAAGACUGAAUAUUGCUUUGUUCUCGUGAAGUUUGAUCAGGAGUUGCAGCGUGAGGUUCGACAUCUACAGGAUCAUUGAUUGCUUGCUGCUGUGCGUGUUGAAGAGGAUCCUGUUGUUUGAGGCCUUCUGUUUGUGUUCUCUGCCCUAUUUUUACUGUGAUGUUGCGGGCCUCUCUCUGUUAUGUCCCCUGUUAUGUUUAUUUCCUGUUGUUCACGGUUGUAGCUUGUUUGGGCCUCUGGGUAUUAUCCCAUGUCUUUUUCCUUGUAUUUGGUAUACUGUCUGAACAUCGGUGAA